UUGGGGUUUUUUCUUUCUGUUGUUUAUUUGUUUUUUGGUUUUAUAUUUUUAUUCAUACAAUUAUCAUACAAUUCAAUGUAUCAACAGAGGAACGUUGUGGAAACCAAAUAUAUUUAUUAUUAAAAUCUAAUCCUAAAACCUUCAGCAUGAAAUGAGUCAGCAUUGAGUCUCCUUAUUUUCUUUGCUGACCUGUAAAAAGCUUCCAUAUUUUAUUAGUGCAGAUUGUUCGUUUUUAAUCUACUAAAAUAAACAAAAAGUUCAUUAAAUUAAAUAACAGCAACAUAAAAAGAAAGCUAAGCUGAGGGACGGUGGGUGUGAGUUUAAGGAGCAAAGGAAGGGAGCGAGCGGGAGGGGGGUGUAUUUGGCAGCGGUUGUGCGUGGGCACCGUGUUGUUAUCCAGCUUCUCAGCAGGCAGGACACGCCUUCUCUGGGCUCCGUGAUUUCUGCUGCAGCACCCUUCACGGCAUUACAUCACCCAGUCAGAGAGCACCCAGCACCCCACAAACUCCCACAGCCUCGUGCACGUGUGCUCAACGACACCACAGACGUCUAUACUUUACCAACGCCAGUACACGCAACACGCGAGCGCGCGAGGGCACGCAUACACUCUUUGAAAUCAGAGGACCUUCACAAAAAGAGAAGCUUUAUUAGAGGAGGAGCCUGUCAGCAGCAGGCUAACAGUGCUGCUAUCCAAGUGAAAUGGAGCUGAAUGGGCCGUCCACAGCUUUCCUCAGAGCAGUUUUUUCAAGCUCUGAAAACAACAGGACUACAGUUUUUUGGCAAGUGACCUCUUGUGGUUCCAAAGAAGAAAUAGAAUGAUGUCACUAUCUGAUAACAACCUCGAUGAAGACAUCAGCAAAACAAGUGAUUUUCUCUCCACUAUUUUCUUUCCUUACAUUAAACAUGUUUUCUUCAAAGUCCUUGAAGCAAGUGUUGCAAAUUAUCUGUAAACACCUUUAAACUUAAUCUGCUCAAAUACAUUUAAGUAUUGAAAUUUCUUGUCAUUUGCAGACAUUCUUGUUCCUUUUAUUUUUCAAUAAAAAAACAAAAAGUACAAAUACAAAGAAAACUGAGGAAUAAAAAACAUGCUAUCAAACUUUUCAAAAUCAUAUUAAAUAAUUUGUUUGGCUCUGCACUUUCAAAAUUAAUCACAUAUAAUUUCAUAAUAUUUCACAAUAUAUUUUGAAACAUUAACUAAAUUAAUUUAAUGUCACUGGUCAUAAACUGUGACAGACAGGAGAACAAACUUGUUAGCCCAGACAAGCAAAUGACAGCUACAAACUUCAGGACACACAUGAAGUUUUUAGCUGUCAUUUAUUUACAUUUCAGGAGCUUUCCUGGAAGGUCUCACACACUUGACAUAAAACCCAAGUGUUUGAUGAGCACAGUAUUAAAAAAUGUUCUUUGACUUUAGAUCAAUUAUACAUUUAAUAUCAUUUGCUCAAAGAUGUAAAACGAUCUUGAUCAUUUUGUACUCUUAAUUGGUAAAUAAAUCAACAAACAAGUCAGAUACUUAUCAUUUACUUUUGACUUGUUCAUCAUUUCAGUUUAAUUCAAUCUUAUUUGCAUAGCACCCAAUCACAACAAAAGUCCCAUCAAGGUACAUUAUACUGUAAAGACACCUAAGACAGGAGUGUCUCCGGUGUCUCAGGUCACACUCCCCCAGUCCAGGAGGGAUGUACAGCAUUCCACUAAGGUGCAAUGGAGGUAUACGCCAGGCUUUGGUGGGCACCAGCUGAAUGCAAUUGUGAUCACUAGUUAGACCCUCUGUUGUUUGCAGUGUGGGAGGUGCCCCAGGCCAUGUCCAAGCCCGGCUAAAAUGAGAGUCAAUAUGUUCUGGGCCUGAGAGCAAAGCUGCACACUUUGGGGAGAUUGUCACAAGAAAAUUUGCUCCAGGCCCAGGAACGUCAGCAGUGCCUGUACAACAGAGGGGUUAGACUCAGGUAGUUUUCACUAGGAGAUAAAGUGCUUGUAUUACUCACUUGACCCUUCGUGGUCACACUGCGAGUGGGGGAUGUAGACUAUGAAGUGGUACAGUCGGACAGGGGAGGACCCACACAGGUAUAUAACCUCAACCUCCUUAAAGCAUGGAGAGAGGCUGAAACUGC
ensembl:lncRNA